GAUGAACGCUGGCGGCGUGCCUAAUACAUGCAAGUCGAGCGAACAGAUAAGGAGCUUGCUCCUUUGACGUUAGCGGCGGACGGGUGAGUAACACGUGGGUAACCUACCUAUAAGACUGGAAUAACUCCGGGAAACCGGGGCUAAUGCCGGAUAACAUAUAGAACCGCAUGGUUCUAUAGUGAAAGACGGUUUUGCUAUCACUUAUAGAUGGACCCGCGCCGUAUUAGCUAGUUGGUAAGGUAACGGCUUACCAAGGCAACGAUGCGUAGCCGACCUGAGAGGGUGAUCGGCCACACUGGAACUGAGACACGGUCCAGACUCCUACGGGAGGCAGCAGUAGGGAAUCUUCCGCAAAGGGCGAAAGCCUGACGGAGCAACGCCGCGUGAGUGAUGAAGGUCUUCGGAUCGUAAAACUCUGUUAUUAGGGAAGAACAAAUGUGUAAGUAACUGUGCACGUCUUGACGGUACCUAAUCAGAAAGCCACGGCUAACUACGUG
rnacentral:rRNA from 1 species